GCCCGGUUAGCUCAAUCGGUAGAGCGUGAGACUCUUAGGAGUACACAACAUCUCAAGGUUGCGGGUUCGACCCCCGCAUCGGGCU